rnacentral:rRNA from 1 species
UACGUAGGGUGCAAGCGUUAAUCGGAAUUACUGGGCGUAAAGCGUGCGCAGGCGGCUUUGCAAGACAGAUGUGAAAUCCCCGGGCUUAACCUGGGAACUGCAUUUGUGACUGCAUGGCUAGAGUGCGGCAGAGGGGGAUGGAAUUCCGCGUGUAGCAGUGAAAUGCGUAGAUAUGCGGGAGGAACACCGAUGGCGAAGGGCAAUCCCCUGGGCCUGCACUGACGCUCAUGCACGAAAGCGUGGGGAGCAAACAGG